GGGGAUGCUUGGUUCGACACAUUUGCGCGUACUCAUUAGCAAGCCGAGGAAGAUUACAUAUCCUCGCUAAAUAACAGUAAUCAAACAACAAACGGCAAUACACAAUAUGUUGCUCCGGUGGCUCCCGCAUACGCUUUUGCGUAAUAAGGAAUUAUCCGGCAUCACCCCGUAACUUUGUUCCUGACGGAAACGGUGUGUGGUGUCAUAUUUGUCAGGUAUUUAUCGAUUUUGCACAUUUAUCAUUCAUCGUAAAGCUUGUAUAACUAAUUUUUAUUAACAACGUGUGCACGGGGGUUCGACUCCCCCCAUCUCCACCA
rnacentral:tmRNA from 2 species